CCUCGGGUGGCAGCAGUGGGGAAUAUUGGACAAUGGGCGAAAGCCUGAUCCAGCCAUGCCGCGUGUGUGAAGAAGGCCUUCGGGUUGUAAAGCACUUUCAGUGGGGAAGAAAGCCUUGGGGCUAAUACCCUCGAGGAAGGACAUCACCCACAGAAGAAGCACCGGCUAACUCCGUGCCAGCAGCCGCGGUAAUACGGAGGGUGCGAGCGUUAAUCGGAAUUACUGGGCGUAAAGCGCGCGUAGGCGGUCUGAUAAGCCGGUUGUGAAAGCCCCGGGCUCAACCUGGGAACGGCAUCCGGAACUGUCAGGCUAGAGUGCAGGAGAGGAAGGUAGAAUUCCCGGUGUAGCGGUGAAAUGCGUAGAGAUCGGGAGGAAUACCAGUGGCGAAGGCGGUCUUCUGGACUGACACUGACGCUGAGGUGCGAAAGCGUGGGUAGCAAACAGGAUUAGAUACCCCUGUAGUC
rnacentral:rRNA from 1 species